GUCGAGCGAACGGACGAGAAGCUUGCUUCUCUGAUGUUAGCGGCGGACGGGUGAGUAACACGUGGAUAACCUACCUAUAAGACUGGGAUAACUUCGGGAAACCGGAGCUAAUACCGGAUAAUAUUUUGAACCGCAUGGUUCAAAAGUGAAAGACGGUCUUGCUGUCACUUAUAGAUGGAUCCGCGCUGCAUUAGCUAGUUGGUAAGGUAACGGCUUACCAAGGCAACGAUGCAUAGCCGACCUGAGAGGGUGAUCGGCCACACUGGAACUGAGACACGGUCCAGACUCCUACGGAAGGCAGCAGUAGGGAAUCUUCCGCAAUGGGCGAAAGCCUGACGGAGCAACGCCGCGUGAGUGAUGAAGGUCUUCGGAUCGUAAAACUCUGUUAUUAGGGAAGAACAUAUGUGUAAGUAACUGUGCACAUCUUGACGGUACCUAAUCAGAAAGCCACGGCUAACUACGUGCCAGCAGCCGCGGUAAUACGUAGGUGGCAAGCGUUAUCCGGAAUUAUUGGGCGUAAAGCGCGCGUAGGCGGUUUUUUAAGUCUGAUGUGAAAGCCCACGGCUCAACCGUGGAGGGUCAUUGGAAACUGGAAAACUUGAGUGCAGAAGAGGAAAGUGGAAUUCCAUGUGUAGCGGUGAAAUGCGCAGAGAUAUGGAGGAACACCAGUGGCGAAGGCGACUUUCUGGUCUGU
rnacentral:rRNA from 1 species